CAGCGCACCCCGUUGACGCUCCUGUGGACGCAUGCAGCCUCGCGCCAUUCUAUUUUUACAGACCUAUAAUUCAGCAGCUCUGACAUUUGGCACAGGCGCGUAUUACCGCCGCGCGCUGUCUUUGACGCGCGUUGAAGGAAGGAAGGAAGGAAGGAGGGAGGGAAGGAAGGAGACGUCGCAACACGAAACAACAACGUGACCCGCAGGAGCCGUGGGGAAGGAAGCAUCUGCUUCUGCUGAGGCUGCGGCAACAUCAGCAUCACGCAGAGAGAGACACGCGCGCGUCACUGCCGCUGCAUGCGCGCUGCUUGUUCCCUGACUCCAGCUCUCGUUUCGUUUUUACGCAUCUGCCUCUUAUAAUCAACCCACCAACGCUUGGAAACUACUAUAUUUACAGUCUCCUCCAUGUGAGCUGGUCACACAGGUGCCUGGAGACCACUGCCGAGGUCUGUCUCCAUCCUCCUGCCGGUGUCUGUGAACCUCACCAGGAGGAGAGUGUAUAUAGGUGCCUUCUAUAUGGCACACUACUAAAGUAUGUGGCGUCGAGCUAAAGCUUCCUGCUGCAUUUUUAGCCUCCACCCUGAGACUCCAAGUUUUUUUUUUUUUACCCCCCCCCCCCCCUUUUUUUUUUUUUUUAGAUUUGCUGCAUGUGUCUCCUCUGUGCCUUCCUCCACCCCUUACUGCGCCCUCCCACCGUGCAGCCACCACCACCACUAUUCCUUCCAUCACCAUCUCUAUACUGAAGGCUGCCAAUAUUGACGCUUCAUGCAACCAAGGAGAGAGACGCGUCAUUCAAACAGAACAAUAGACACCGGCUCUUAAUGGUCAGAUGUUUGGGCUUCUGGACACGUCGUCCACUGUGCCCUCCGAGUGUGUGUGCGUCUGUGUGUGUGUGUAGAGGGAGAGAGAGAGAGAGAGCAGGGGAGCAGCGACGCAGCAGCUCCGCGCACACUGUCAUCAUCUCCUUCUUCUUCUGCUGCUGCUGCUGCUGCUGCUGCUGAGGAGGAGGAGAAGCCCCGGGAUGAAGGAGCGGAUGCCGGCAGCAUGUGUCGCCUCUUCGGCCUUGACUUUUUGUCCCUCUGCGGCCAAAGAAGCAAACAAAAGUAAAAGCCUGUGACACACUUCAGCGGUGCUGGAUCAGAUUUACUCUCAGUCAGACUGUGAAGUGAAGACUCUGCGUGCCGCGCUCUCUCUCUCUCUCUCUAUCUCUGUGUGUCUCCGUGGACUUUCGGCUCUGUGUGGUUGCGCGUGAGAGAUUUAGAAAAAAAAAAGUUGCGUAAAAUUACUUCGUGGACUUAAACCGGAGAUGUGGAAUUUACUCCAAGUUUGUGGCCUGAGUUGUGUGCAGUGCAGGCAAGAAGAGCAGUCGCACACAAAACACAUGCACACAUCCCAAGUGAAGGCGACCUUUGUGUGAAACCUGCAGGGCAACAGGUCAGCAGAGGCACACACCACCACCUCCUCAACCAAACCCACCCACUGUGCUGUGAACAGACUUCAUUGCUUCAAAGCUACAGCAGGAAGAAGAGGAGGACGAGGAGGAGGAGGAGGAGGCAGUGGAGGAGGUAAAAGAGAAGCAGAGUGGGUGGAAGGAUGGAAGGAGAGAAGGAUAGAAACAGUUCGAGGAGGUGGUUCGAAGCGGGUGAACCCAGAGCAGGUGAACACAGCUGUGGAUCGCCAUGGGCUCUCUCGCUGCCUUCCUCCUGUGGCCCCAGCACUGCAUUCAGGGGUCCCGGGGAGAUGGCAAGGGCCAGCCAAGGCUGCCGCAGAGUGGGCAUGCUAGGCCAUCCAAGCCAGGAGAGAAGCAGGUGGAGCGGGUGAACCAAGCUCUCAUCCCCGCCGGCUAGGAGCCUCCACGGCAGAGUGGAGCAGCGCGGAGCAGCAGAAAUCAAUACAGAGGAGAGAGGCGAGCAGAGGUUGCCCAGCACCGCCUGCAGGCCUCAGAGCCCAGGGACCAACCACCACCACUGCUCCCAGCUCCAUCUCUCCAUCUCUCUUUCUAUCUUCCUCCAACAAUCUCAGCACCAGCCAGGGCCGGGGCCCUAACCUUACAACCACCCCACACGCAGUGUGUGUGUGUGUGUGUGUGUGUGUGUUUGUGCGUGUUUGUGUGUCAGUGUGUGCCCAUGUGUGUGUGGAACACAGAGAGAAAAGGGAAGAGACAGAGAAAGAGAGUCUCUGUGUGUGGUUCAGCCGGAGGGUUUCUGCUGUGUCCAAAAACCACUUGAUAAAACUUUGUCAAGGAGACAUGGAGACAGCGAGGGAGGGAGGGAGAGAAAUGGAAGAAGAAUAAGCACAUCGACAGCACGUCAAAGGUCUCUUUUCUCCCAGCUCCCUCCCUCUUAUUACUCAUUCCACCUUAACCAUUAGAAUAAGGAUCCACCAGAGACAGCAACACAGGACAUUUCUGCGAUGUCCCACUUUCAAGCACGUAGUACUCAACAUUCAUAACAUCUCGUGAGCCGGGAUGAAAGGACAGUUUGAACUUUUUCCUCUUUCCUCUGUAUCAGACACAGCCUGUCUAUUCACCUUAGAUUUUCUUGCCUUCGCUACAGCAGCUCCCAUCAGAGGAUAUGGCAGUGCAGUAUUGAUCUUUAAGGUGGAAGAGAGGGAGGCGGGCCCAGGCUUUCAUACCCCUCUCUUGCUCUGUGUGUGUGUGUGUGUG